UACGAAGGGGGCUAGCGUUGUUCGGAAUUACUGGGCGUAAAGCGAACGUAGGCGGUGUUCCAUGUCAGAGGUGAAAGCCUGGGGCUCAACUCCAGAAUUGCCUUUGAAACGGGAACGCUUGAGUCCGAGAGAGGGUGGCGGAAGUUCCUAGUGUAGAGGUGAAAUUCGUAGAUAUUAGGAAGAACACCAGUGGCGAAGGCGGCCACCUGGCUCGGUACGUGACGCUCAGGUUCGAAAGCGUGGGGAGCAAACAGG
rnacentral:rRNA from 1 species